rnacentral:piRNA from 1 species
CCUAUUGCUCUUAUUAAUAGAAAAGGGGGA